UUGCCUCAGUAACGGCGAGUGAAGCGGCAAUAGCUCAAAUUUGAAAUCUGCUCUUUGAGCCGAAUUGUAAUUUGUAGAGGAUGCUUCGGCUUACGUUUCGGUCUAAGUUCCUUGGAACAGGACGUCAUAGAGGGUGAGAAUCCCGUCUGUGGCCGAGACUUCCGCCAUGUGAAGCUCCUUCGACGAGUCGAGUUGUUUGGGAAUGCAGCUCUAAAUGGGAGGUAUAUUUCUUCUAAAGCUAAAUACCGGCCAGAGACCGAUAGCGCACAAGUAGAGUGAUCGAAAGAUGAAAAGCACUUUGGAAAGAGAGUUAAAAAGUACGUGAAAUUGUUGAAAGGGAAGCGUUUGCGACCAGACUUGCCCGCGGAUGCUCAACCGGUCCUUCGGCCGGUGCACUCUUCCGCGGUCAGGCCAGCAUCAGUUCGAGUAGCCAGAUAAAGGCAUUGGGAAUGUGGCUCUCUUCGGGGAGUGUUAUAGCCCUUUGUGUAAUAUGGUUCAUUUGGACUGAGGCCCGCGCUUCGGCUAGGAUGCUGGCGUAAUGGUCGUAAGCGGCCCGUCUUGAAACACGGACCAAGGAGUCUAACAUCUAUGCGAGUGUUUGGGUGUCAAACCCGUGCGCGAAAUGAAAGUGAACGGAGGUGGGAACCUUUGGGUGCACCAUCGACCGAUCCUGAUGUCUUCGGAUGGAUUUGAGUAAGAGCAUAGCUGUUGGGACCCGAAAGAUGGUGAACUAUGCCUGAAUAGGGUGAAGCCAGAGGAAACUCUGGUGGAGGCUCGCAGCGGUUCUGACGUGCAAAUCGAUCGUCAAAUUUGGGUAUAGGGGCGAAAGACUAAUCGAACCAUCUA
rnacentral:rRNA from 2 species